rnacentral:rRNA from 1 species
GACUCCUACGGGAGGCAGCAGUGAGGAAUAUUGGUCAAUGGGCGAGAGCCUGAACCAGCCAAGUCGCGUGAAGGAAGAAGGAUCUAUGGUUCGUAAACUUCUUUUGCAGGGGAAUAAAGUGCAGGACGUGUCCUUUUUGUAUGUACCCUAGAAUAAGACG